rnacentral:tRNA from 1 species
CCCAGCUUGGUCUAGUGGUAAGACAUCCAGCUAACCAAACUUCUCUGUCGGGAGGGUUUUCUUCUCUUUAAUAAGGGCACUGGAAAAUCGUUAGUUCGAACCUAACAGUUGGGG